GGUGGCACCAUUUUGGCGUUUAACACAUUUGUAUAUGUGGCACCAUUGGGGCUUUGGCACCAUUUGGACUUAGCUGCCUGUGGAGCUGUUUGGAACUGAGUUAUAGGGCUUUGACUCCUGGAUACACAUAUCUCAUCUAAAGAAGACACUGACUCCUGCCAGUAUCUGACACCAGACUCAAGUUAACCAAAGUCUUCUCUUUAGACUCAGGCAAAGGC
rnacentral:lncRNA from 1 species